UGUAGCCAGAAAGUUAGCCACAACCAAACGGUGGAACGGGCCCAGAGCUCUCGAGGACGGAGAUAGCUCUCCAUGGAAGUCAGCUAUUUUUACCCAUAAAAAUGAAGUGCACGAAGAAUCCUCGCAGGAAAACGGACUAUCAUUUCCAGGCAACUUAUGAAUAUAACUGUGAUCCAGACCAAGGAAUAAGAGUGGAUCCUCAUCAAUCAAGAAGAACCGUGAGACAACCUGAGAAGUAGUCGAGAGCAACUGAACUAAGGGGUACAAAAUUGACUUUCAACGGUAAAUGAAGGAGUGUAGAAAGGGUAAUAAUGAAUUGGGAAAACACAUGCAGGAUCACACCUGACUGGGAAGUGAGACCAAGCUUAUAUCAGUGGUUUCAAGUACUGCCUGGACAGACUUUAAAAUGCCUUUGGUAUCCACCUUGGCAAGGGACUGUGCCAUCACAAACAGGGGGAUCUGGACCAUUUCGGACAGGAAAUUCUGGUAUUUUUGCCUUAGCCUGUGAUUUAUACAAAGAGGAGGGAGAGUUACAACCUAGAUCGGUGCCUCAUAAUAUACCCUGCUUGACCCAUCCAAACACUGGGCAUGCUAGUUGGGUAAAAUGUAAAUGUUUAAAUUGUGGGAGAAAUUGGUAUUGCAGUUCACACAAAAGAUGCUCGUAUUGCCAGGAGUGUCGGGGGACAAGUAGGUCCCCUAUCCAGAUGGAACGUGCCACGGCAGAAAUAAUAACUUUAUUUUGUGGAUGGGAAUUAUUAGUUCCCGUUACAUGGGAAAUACCUGAAAAACUGUGGGAAAAUACUGUCAAAGAGUGUCAAAAACUAUUUGCCUGGAAAUUGGCUAAAAGAAAGUAAAUGUAUAAAGGAUGAGUAAUAUCUGACUAGCCGUAUCUUAAAGCUUGCUACUGAAUUGAGCCUAAUUAUAAUUGGAUUUCAUGAAUUGGUAUCACUUGUUUCAAAGGGGAAUAAGGAAAAGAUUAGAUUCAAAAGGUUCAAAUGUUAGCUAUUGAAUACCAAAGGUCAAAUAACAUACCCUGUGAAGCUGAUAUAGUCAAAUUAUUAAAGGUGGGGGGGGGUGCUGGGAUGCCUUUAAGAGGCGAUAUACAGCUCAGUCCAUACAUGAAACCCUGGAAGGACAUUCUUGCUGCUGUGAAGAUAACUUUAUCCCGCCACUGGCAGCAACCCAGUGGGCGUGGCAAAGGCAGAGGGAUACACCUGUGGGUAACUAUAAUGGGCUUGAGCCUAGCCAUGUGCUGUACAACUAGUCUGCACUUGGAAAUUCUGCCUGGCAUUAAAAGGGCAGAAAUAUCAGCACCCCCGCCCCAGGAAGCUGCUGCAAGAGUAAGAAAAACACUGUACUAUAAACAGCACACAGUAUGAAAUCUGUAACAUAAGUGAAAAAAAGAGAUAAUAUGCAAUAUGCCAAAAAAAGCGAUAUCUAAGGACCGGCAGUCAGAAGCUCACACCUACAAAUUAUAUAAGCAGGGUGUGGGGAAACUUAUUCCUGUGGGUAAUCAAUGUAAUAGAGCAAUAUGGGAUGAAUGAAAAAUAGAGUCAGUAUCUGUAGGCAUAUCUCAAAGUUAAUAAGCUAUGUUAUGAUAGAUUCAAGAUCCUAAAUCUUGCAGGAGGGAAUGACAAUAGGAUGUGUUUACAAAAUAAUAAAGUUUUCUGUUUUUUUU